UACGUAGGGGGCUAGCGUUAUCCGGAUUUACUGGGCGUAAAGGGUGCGUAGGUGGUUUCUUAAGUCAGGAGUGAAAGGCUACGGCUCAACCGUAGUAAGCUCUUGAAACUGGGGAACUUGAGUGCAGGAGAGGAAAGUGGAAUUCCUAGUGUAGCGGUGAAAUGCGUAGAUAUUAGGAGGAACACCAGUAGCGAAGGCGGCUUUCUGGACUGUAACUGACACUGAGGCACGAAAGCGUGGGGAGCAAACAGG
rnacentral:rRNA from 1 species